rnacentral:rRNA from 1 species
AGUGAACGCUGGCGGGAGGAAGAAAAUAGGAAAGUCGAACGGAAGUAUAGUAAGAGAUUGAUAUUGAGGGUGGAGAGUGGCGUAAGGGUGAGGAAUACAUUGGAAUAUACUUUUUCGUGUGGGAUAACGUAGGGAAACUUACGCUAAUACCGCAUCCGACCUACGGGUGAAAGCAGGGGAUCUUCGGACCUUGCGCGAUUGAAUGAGCCGAUGUCGGAUUAGCUAGUUGGUGGGGUAAAGGCCCACCAAGGCGACGAUCCGUAGCUGGUCUGAGAGGAUGCUCAGCCACAGUGGAACUGAGACACGGUCCAGAAUCCUACGGGAGGAAGCAGUGGGGAAUAUUGGACAAUGAGCGCAAGCCUGAUCCAGCCAUACCGCGUGGGUGAAGAAGGAAUUCGGGUUUUAACUCCCUUUUAUUACGAAAGAAAAGCAGCAGGUUAAUACCCCGCUGUUCUGACGGUACCCAAAGAAUAAGCACCAACUCACUUCGUC